GACGAACGCUGGCGGCGUGCUUAACACAUGCAAGUCGAACGGUGAAGCGCCUUCCUUUUUGGUGGGUGUGGAUGAGUGGCGAACGGGUGAGUAACACGUGAGUAACCUGCCCCCUUCUUCUGGAUAACCGCAUGAAAGUGUGGCUAAUACGGGAUAUUCUGGGUCUGUCGCAUGAUGGGUCUGGGAAAGAUAUUGUUUCGGUGGGGGAUGGGCUCGCGGCCUAUCAGCUUGUUGGUGGGGGUGAUGGCCUACCAAGGCGGUGACGGGUAGCCGGCCUGAGAGGGUGGACGGUCACACUGGGACUGAGACACGGCCCAGACUCCUACGGGAGGCAGCAGUGGGGAAUAUUGCACAAUGGGCGCAAGCCUGAUGCAGCGACGCCGCGUGAGGGAUGGAGGCCUUCGGGUUGUGAACCUCUUUCGCCAGUGAAGCAGGCCUGCCUCGUUUGUGGGUGGGUUGACGGUAGCUGGAUAAGAAGCGCCGGCUAACUACGUG
rnacentral:rRNA from 1 species